rnacentral:rRNA from 1 species
UGGGGAAUAUUGCACAAUGGGCGAAAGCCUGAUGCAGCGACGCCGCGUGAGUGAUGAAGUAUUUCGGUAUGUAAAGCUCUAUCAGCAGGGAAGAAAAUGACGGUACCUGACUAAGAAGCCCCGGCUAACUACGUGCCAGCAGCCGCGGUAAUACGUAGGGGGCAAGCGUUAUCCGGAUUUACUGGGUGUAAAGGGAGCGUAGACGGCGAAGCAAGUCUGAAGUGAAAACCCAGGGCUCAACCCUGGGACUGCUUUGGAAACUGUUUUGCUAGAGUGUCGGAGAGGUAAGUGGAAUUCCUAGUGUAGCGGUGAAAUGCGUAGAUAUUAGGAGGAACACCAGUGGCGAAGGCGGCUUACUGGACGAUAACUGACGUUGAGGCUCGAAAGCGUGGGGAGCAAACAGG